rnacentral:misc_RNA from 1 species
UGAAAGCUCAGGUUUCAGAAGUGAAAGGUGUUAUGAUGGAAAAUAUUGAAAAGGUUCUUGAUAGAGGAGAGAAGAUAGAACUUCUAGUGGACAAGACAGAAAACCUUCACAACCAGGCACAAGACUUUAAGAGUAGUGGAACAAAAAUUCGAAGGAAAAUGUGGCUACAAAAUAUGAAGAUCAAGUUGAUCGUUUUGGGGAUUUUGAUAGCGUUGAUCCUUAUCAUAGUCCUUUCAGUUUGCCGUGGGUUCAACUGUGGUCAAAAGUGAACAUUUUCUCAUGGAGGAACCUCACACUGAAAUCUUUUGGCAUGAUGAUAUUUUGAGAGAGAGAAGUAAUAUACAUGAUUUGGCUAUGUAUGUAGUAAACGUUAAACAAAGUGCAGAAUAUCUGUUUUGUUUAAAGCUAAAUUUACGUGUGAAUUCACCUAUAAUAUUCGUUACCUUUUUCUUUGUCAGAAGACAUGGGGGUUGCAUUUUCUGAAUUGGAGAUAAA